AACGAACGCUGGCGGCAGGCUUAACACAUGCAAGUCGAACGGGUGUAGCAAUACAUCAGUGGCAGACGGGUGAGUAACACGUGGGAACCUUCCUCGUUGUACGGAACAACUCAGGGAAACUUGAGCUAAUACCGUAUACGUCCGAGAGGAGAAAGAUUUAUCGCAAUGAGACGGGCCCGCGUCGGAAUAGCUAGUUGGUAGGGUAAUGGCCUACCAAGGCGACGAUCCGUAGCUGAUCUGAGAGGAUGAUCAGCCACACUGGGACUGAGACACGGCCCAGACUCCUACGGGAGGCAGCAGUGGGGAAUCUUGGACAAUGGGCGCAAGCCUGAUCCAGCCAUGCCGCGUGAGUGAAGAAGGCCUUAGGGUUGUAAAGCUCUUUUGCCAGGGACGAUAAUGACGGUACCUGGAGAAUAAGCCCCGGCAAACUUCGUGCCAGCCGCCGCUGUAAGAC
rnacentral:rRNA from 1 species